AUCAUAGUAGUGCCAAUAAUGGAAUGAAGCAGAAUGUGACAACCAUUUAGUGUGUUGGUAUCAUGACGCUGUAUGUAAAUCAGGCAUCUUUCAGGAACCUUCCACCUUUUGUACCAUGGAGAGUGCUGUAAGCAUAAGCUGAAAAGCCCACUUCACUACUUCCACUCUACUGAGAAAUGCUGAGCUGAGAGCUGGAAGGAUUUUUGGUUGUUUUCCUGACGUUAGGCUGAGUAGAAGGCAGGGGAAAUACUGACUACACUAAUGGAAGAAUUUCAUGUGAUGGAAAAUCAGCUCCAUCUCUCAUUUUCCAAUGGUUAGUUACAUUCACUGUUCAAACCAUGUGCCUGACUGUGGCUGAAAAGAUCAUACAUACUUGGAGAACACAGACUGUAUAGUUUAAAUUCAGCCAACUGACCGUCAGCUGAUCCUUAAUGGAAAGAUCAAAGGAAAUUAGUAUUCUGCAUUACAGAUUACCAGUUCUAUGAGAAACCUCUUUUGGCCCCUCUACUUUCCCUCCCUGUCUGUACUAUUAUUAUAGGGGAGGUAUCACACAGUUCUAGUUUGGCACUGUUUAGUCAGUGUCUGAAUAAAAAUUAGUCGG